AGUCGAACGGUAACAGGUCUUCGGAUGCUGACGAGUGGCGAACGGGUGAGUAAUGCAUCGGAACGUGCCCAGUCGUGGGGGAUAACGUAGCGAAAGCUACGCUAAUACCGCAUACGAUCUAUGGAUGAAAGCGGGGGACCGUAAGGCCUCGCGCGAUUGGAGCGGCCGAUGUCAGAUUAGGUAGUUGGUGGGGUAAAGGCUCACCAAGCCAACGAUCUGUAGCUGGUCUGAGAGGACGACCAGCCACACUGGGACUGAGACACGGUCCAGACUCCUACGGGAGGCAGCAGUGGGGAAUUUUGGACAAUGGGGGAAACCCUGAUCCAGCCAUCCCGCGUGAGUGAAGAAGGCCUUCGGGUUGUAAAGCUCUUUCGAAAGUGAAGAAAACUUAUUUCGUAAUAUGUUAUAAGUAUGACGGUAACUUUAGAAGAAGCACCGGCUAACUACGUGCCAGCAGCCGCGGUAAUACGUAGGGUGCGAGCGUUAAUCGGAAUUACUGGGCGUAAAGCGUGCGCAGGCGGUUUUGUAAGUCAGAUGUGAAAUCCCCGAGCUUAACUUGGGAACUGCGUUUGAAACUACAAGACUAGAGUGUGUCAGAGGGGGGUAGAAUUCCACGUGUAGCAGUGAAAUGCGUAGAGAUGUGGGGGAAUACCAAUGGCGAAGGCAGCCCCCUGGGAUAACACUGACGCUCAUGCACGAAAGCGUGGGGAGCGAACAGGAUUAGAUACCCUGGUAGAAGGGC
rnacentral:rRNA from 1 species